rnacentral:rRNA from 1 species
UUGCACGCUGGCGGCAUGCCUUACACAUGCAAGUCGAACGGUAACAGGUCUUCGGAUGCUGACGAGUGGCGAACGGGUGAGUAAUACAUCGGAACGUGCCCGAUCGUGGGGGAUAACGAGGCGAAAGCUUUGCUAAUACCGCAUACGAUCUACGGAUGAAAGCGGGGGAUCUUCGGACCUCGCGCGGACGGAGCGGCCGAUGGCAGAUUAGGUAGUUGGUGGGAUAAAAGCUUACCAAGCCGACGAUCUGUAGCUGGUCUGAGAGGGUGAUCAGCCACACUGGGACUGAGACACGGCCCAGACUCCUACGGGAGGCAGCAGUGGGGAAUUUUGGACAAUGGGCGAAAGCCUGAUCCAGCCAUGCCGCGUGCAGGAUGAAGGCCUUCGGGUUGUAAACUGCUUUUGUACGGAACGAAAAGCCUCUUUCUAAUAAAGAGGGGUCAUGACGGUACCGUAAGAAUAAGCACCGGCUAACUACGUG